rnacentral:rRNA from 1 species
AUGAUGCUUGCUGCUGCAGGGGUGGCAGCCCCCACAGCUCGUCGUCGCACCAUGCGUGUGCACGGGCGAAUUGGGAACAAGGAAGUUCUGAUCCUUAUUGAUUCAGGUGCCAACUUUUCCUUUGUGGACGCUUCAGUGGUACAAGAAUUACACCUAGAGGCAAAGGAGGUACCUGCCGCUACCUAUGUGAUUGCAGGCGGAGACACUCUUACUAGUUCUCAGAUUGUAUCACCAUUGGUCUGGUGGACUCAAGGGCAUACAUUUCUUCAAGAAGUUAAGGUGCUACCCCUUGGUUGUUAUGAUCUGAUCAUUGGAGCUGACUGGUUAGAAGAGCACAACCCUAUGUGGGUACAUUGGCGCAAAAGACAGAUGAAGUUCACACAUGAGGGGCGCAGAAUUUGUCUGUUGGGAAUCCAAGAUCAACAACCAAAGUGUAAGCAAAUUUCUUCCAGGAAACUAAAGGUGCUUCUCCGGCGCGGUGCUGUUCAGCAGGUCAUUCGAAUACAACCAGUGCAUCAGGAGCAGGACUUGUUUUCUCUCCAGUCUGGACCUACAACUGAUACACCCUUGCCCACAGAAAUUCAGGAGGUGUUGCAAGAGUUUCAGGAAUUAUUCUCCCCGCCAAUGUCGCUCCCACCCAGACGUGCACACGACCACAAAAUUCCCUUGGUGCCAGGAGCUCAACCUGUCAGUGCACGACCAUAA